GCGUACCUGCGACAUAUGGAAGCUCCUAGGCUAGGGGUCUAAUUGGAGCUGCAGCUGCUGGCCUACACCACAGCCACAGAAAUGCAGGAACUGAGCCAUGUCUGGGACCUACACCACAGCUCAGGGCAACACUGGAUCCUUAACUCAAUGAGCAAGGCCAUAGGUCAAACCUGCAUCCUCAUGGAUACUAGUCAGAUUCUAAACCCAUUGAGUCACAAGGGGAACUCCUUUUUUGUCAUUUCUAAAAUUAGACUGAAAGAAAUAGGAUUUAUAAAUUCUUGUAAAAUUCUUGUAAAAUUUUUUGAUUUCAUUAUCCGCUGGAACCCAGCCCACCAAGUAAAGGGACCUCUGGAUGGUAGAUCCGCCUCAACAAUUAGCAUCAUUACAGUUACAGAAAAAUGAACUGAAAAGAUUCUUGGAAGAGACUAAAGAGUUUAAUGGGUAUUUUAUCCAAUUUUUCCCAUACCUUUCAAUGGGAAGUCACUGAGCACUGAGCACUACAUUCCAUCUCACACUUCUUUUAAUUGUUCUCUAAUUUUUGAAUAAUUUAGUUGACAGUUAAUAGCUUAAAGAUCCACUUAUGGAGACAUUUUACUCUAUAAGAAUAGAAAAUGUAAUAUUUCCACUUAAAAUCCCAGUAUUUUACUCAGUAAGAUUUAAAAAAAAAAAUCUUCAGAGACAUCCUCAUGAGGAAAAUUCAGGAAACCUCUUCUAAAACUUUUGCACAUUUGGUUAUUUUCACAUAAACAUAAGGCAAAACAUUCCAUAUGCUGCUGGCCUACUUCUCAUGUCCCUUUUCUCUGUGGACAUUGUUCCUCAAGUUUCCUGUUUCGGUAUUGGUACUAAUGUUGAUAACAUGUCUAUAAUCCUUAGCGUGUUUUCCUCCUGGCCCUCUUUGGCACACUAAGUCGCUGGAGUAUCUCCCCUGAGCCUUGGGCAUAUACGGUAGAUAAAAUAUCACAUGGCUUAUCCAGGUUACAAUCCAUAUAGAAAUUAUAUCCAGAAAGGCCCACAGUAACUCCAUAUCUUGCUUCUCUUCAGUAUUUUUGCUCUCUUGACUACCAUAGAAAAUGUAUCAAAAAAUUAUGGCUAUGGAAAUAAAAUAAUUGGAAAUGUAUUAAGAGAGUGAUUUUUAGAAAGGCUGGAUUUCUUAACCUAAAACCGAAAUAGUUGCAUUUUUUUUUAUAAUUUCAACCGGCUGAUGUGGUGCAUUUGUAUGACAAAUAGAGGUAAGACUGUAAUGUUAAAGCCAAUGAAAACUUUACCUUUUUUUUAGCUCUGAUUUAUUAUUUAUUAGCUCAACUUUUCAUCACAUUGAGUAGAAUAAUUUGGGGAUGCCAUUUCUUUCUGUAGAUACCAAAGAAAUGAAAAAUGAGCAUGGUUGCAUUUCCUGUUUGGUGUACUAAUUUAUUUUUUUACUAAUUUUUGGAAAAAUUGCUCUCUGAAUUUGGUCCUCCUACUCGUUGAAUAUAGGUUUAAUAAGUAGCACAUGCAUCAGUUUCAGGCAGAAAGAGUUUAGAAUUCCAGUCUUAUCAUUACCUAGAUGUAUGAACUUGCUUAUAUUAUUUAAACUCUCAAUGUCAGUUUCUCCACACUCAACAUAGUGUUAUUGUAAUGAGUCGAUGACAAAGCUUUAACAUUAUCUCUCAAAUGAGUUUCCUCAGAAAUGUUAUUAUUACUUUACAGUGGGACUAUCUUUUUCAACUGUGAUAACUGAUUUUAUUUUUAGAAAUAAUAAAGAUGACAGUAUUUACGGUGUGAGUGUAUGAGAUAAAAAUUUAUAUAACUGGAUUUUACCUUUAAUUAUCCCUUGCAAUAAUUCCAUGAACUAUUAUUAUUUUCCUAGUAAAAAAAAAAAUCUAAAACUCAGAAACAGUUGUAUUUUUUAUACAUUUCUCCUGAAAUGGAAAAGCUAGGGGUUGCUCCAAUAAUCCCACACAUUAUAAAUUAAAAUUAAGUUCUGAUGCUAUACAUUUUAAAAGAAUUUUUCCUUUUUAAGUUAAAAAUUACCUUCAAAUACAGAUGCUAGUUAACAAAUUGAGACAAUCAGGAGAGAAAGAGAACAUCUCUAUAAAAACCCACAGAUUUUGCAAGUGAUUUAGGGGAUUACAGUUUUUCCUUCAUUAUUCUUCUUCAUACUGCUUUCACUGACUGGUUUGACCUGACUCCCCUUUGCCAUUAGCAAAAAGGAAAGGUCAUUUUUUUUUUAAGGGGACUCAGAGAAUUAAUUGUAGGACUAAUUGUAGGACUACUUAAAGGCAGCCUUAGAGUAAUAAUCUGAAAGUAAUCUAAAUUGAUUCUUCUUAUGAAUUUUUGUCAUGUAGUCAUGAUGAAGUUCUUACAUGGUAUUGAGAGUCAGCAAACACAGAUGGAGCAGAAUGAAUCAUUCCAGAAACAGACAGGUGGCUAUAAAAUCAAAGUUUACUCAAGAUAGUCAAAUUCAACCAAUAUUCUGUUCUCUUCUGUGACAGAUUCACCUGGCAUAUUAACCUAACACCAAGAAAAAGAUUGUCAAGUCAGAGAGAAAGAUAGAGAAUUGGAAAACUACCCAGUAAUGUUGAGGGUGCUAAUUGCCUUGAGGACGUAUGUGUUCACAAAGAUACUUAUGACUUCUUAGGGGUCUUAAUAUAAGAAAGGCGAGUUCAGUACACAUAGAGAAUGUGGGAAGAUAAUUUAGGUUUCCAAUUAUAUCAUGGAAUUUAGGGAGCCUCCCACCCAACUCCUCAUAAUUUAAAUAAAAUUAGGAAAAAAGAUCUCAAUCUUUAGUAGACAUUUAAAUAAUGUUGCUUCUUUAAAUUGGACAAUUCGGGGGUACCAAUUCGGGGGUUCUUUUCUCUAGAGGACAUCCUUACAACUGACUAUGGACAUUCUUGCAAUUUACUAUGAAAAUGUCCUGAAAAUCAUUUCCAGUUGUCUUAUUUUACACAAUGGCAAGCAUUUGCUUAUUGAGUAGGUGAAGUCUCCCUUUCAGUGAGCUGCAAGCCUGAUUCAACAAUGAGAUAUCCAAGACAUUCAAAUUCUUUAAGAAGAAAGAUACAGGAAGGAAUAUAAAGCUUGGGAUCAGAAGUUCCAGAGACGAGGAAAACAAUGUGGAUGGGUAGGUAGGAAGGAAAAUCUGAAAUGAUGCCUUAGAGACUUGGCUGUGUUCUUCAUUACUUCACCCAGACACCCCAGGAGUGGUUGACAGAUCACAUCCCAGAAAUGAUUGCAGAACAGAGUCAACCACAGCUGUUGGUCACAGAGGAUUUUCAUUUGAGAACAAUGACUUAUGUUUGUAAAUGUCCAUCACAUCCUUGAAUUGCCAUACAUUUGUUUAUAGGAUGUGUAAUUGUGACAUCUGUUUUCCUUGUCAGUACUCUUAAGACUUUUUCUCUAGUCCCUGAGGAAUAGCAAAAGAAAGAAAAUGUUCAUUUUUUUGUGAAUCUCACAUGCUUUCCCAUUAGCAUUGUCCAUCAUAUAUCUUAGCUAGAAUUUUCCUUAAAUUGACAGGAGCAACACUUUUUGCUAUAGAGUGAGGUGAGCAAAAAGAAGGCUCAGGAUUUUAAGGGAAAAAAAUUUGAAAAAUUUCAUAAUAGUUUCACCAAAUCUAUAUCUUGAAAUUAAAUAUUCAUUCUAUUGCAAAAACUUCUAUCACUGGAAUGUAAACUAUAGGAGUUAAUGAGAAUUCACAGAAUGAGUGAUAUUAAAAUGAACUGGUCAAUUAAUUGAAGGAACUCGUAGAUAACUUUUAAAAUAAAUGCAUUAUUACUGUUAUUUGGGAAGAAAAAUAAAAGGUUUUCAUUGCUAUUACAUGGAUUACUCCAAUACACUGAAAAAACAGAGCUCCUACUAAGUGAAAGUUGAUGUGGGAUAAAAGGAAAAAACAUAAAAAUGUUACAUGGGGGAGUUCUCUUGUGGUGCAGUGAGGUAAGGAUUCAGCUGUUUUCACUGUGGAGGCUUGGGUUGCUGCUAUGGUAUGGGUUCAGUCCCUGGUCUGGGAACUUCCACAUGCCACGGGUGUGGCCAAAAUAAAUGACAUGAGAUAGAAAGCCUGUGUGUGUGUGUGUGUUUGUGUGUGUGUGUAAACACAUGGUCUCUGAAGGAUAAUGUCUGAUUUUAGGUAUUUGUGCAAUUUGGUUUCCUUGGUGCAUGACAUAGAUCCAAUCUACUAAAUGUCCACUCUGCCUCCUCUCUACUCUGGACUCUCUAAUACCUGAAAACAUUAUGGUAAUGAACCCAUCACCUCUGGCUUCAGAUGAGGAGUAGGAAGGUGGGAAGGUGAAUGAGUCAGAGGGAAGCAUCGAAAUCUGUCGCAUGGUUAGAUUUCAUUCCAACGACUUUCAUGUUUUACACAUACCUAUCUGAAUGACCAUUUUCCUGACGUAUUUGGCUUUUCUAUUCUAUACUAUCAAAUUAUAAUACAAGAAAUUAGAUGAUAGACUAGGAUGAUAUGAUUUAACUGGGGAUGCAGAAAAUGAGUUUUCCAAUGGAAAGGACUUCCUUUAGGGAAAGCAUUUUAAAAGUCAAAGGAGGGAGAGUACCCAAUGUGGCUCAAUGGAAAUGAAUAUGACUAGCAUCCGUGAGGACUCAGGUACCACCCCUGGCUUUGCUUCUUGGGUUAAGGAUCAGGCGUUGCCCUGAGCUGUGGCGUAGGUCACAGACAUGGCUCGGAUCUGACAUUGCUGUCGUUGUGGUGUAGGCUAGCAACUACUGCUCUGAUUCAAUCCCUAGCCUCGGAACCUCCAUAUGCCUCAGGUGCAGCCCUAAAAAGACAAAACAAACAAACAAAA
rnacentral:lncRNA from 1 species